rnacentral:rRNA from 1 species
UACGGAGGGUGCAAACGUUGCUCGGAAUCAUUGGGCGUAAAGCGCACGUAGGCGGUCCGAUAAGUCGGAUGUGAAAUCCCUCGGCUCAACCCGAGGGAAGUGCAUCCGAAACUGCCGGGCUUGAGUACGGGAAGAGGGGUCUCGGAAUUCCCGGUGUAGAGGUGAAAUUCGUAGAUAUCGGGAGGGAACACCCAGUGGGCGAAGGCGGGAGACCUGGGCCCGAUACUGACGCUGAGGGUG